rnacentral:rRNA from 1 species
AACGAACGCUGGCGGCGUGCCUAACACAUGCAAGUCGUGCGAGAAAGUUCCUUCGGGAGCGAGUAAAGCGGCGCACGGGUGAGUAACACGUAGGUAACCUGCCCCCCAGUCUGGAACAACUAGAGGAAACUCUAGCUAAUGCCGGAUGAGACCACGAUCCCUUCGGGGGUUGCGGCCAAAGAUGGCCUCUACUUGUAAGCUAUCGCUGAGGGAUGGGCCUGCGGGCCAUUAGCUUGUUGGUGAGGUAACGGCUCACCAAGGCUGUGAUGGCUAGCUGGUCUGAGAGGAUGACCAGCCACACUGGGACUGAGACACGGCCUAGACUCCUACGGGAGGCAGCAGUGGGGAAUAUUGCGCAAUGGGCGAAAGCCUGACGCAGCGACGCCGCGUGGGUGAUGAAGGCCU